rnacentral:lncRNA from 1 species
CCAUCCCUCCUGACCAGCCCACCUGAGCUCCCAUUUGCAUCCUGACCCGCACCGGCUUUAUUUUCCUGCUGCAUUGCUGUUGACAUGGAAACCAAUACCGCUUUCUGUUGCAGAGAAUUGGAAGCUAAAGCUACCAAAGAAGUCGAAAGAAAACUAAGCAGGGCUUUCCUGCCUCAUUUAUGUGGAACUGAGAGAAGGGAUUUAGUGCAAGAAGAGGAAGAACAGUUGAUGGAAGAAAGGAAAAAGAGAAAAGAAGACAAGAAGAAGAAGGAAGCUGCUCAAAAAAAGGUAUGUGGAGCACUGAGAAUAAACUCCUGUGCUUGGAGGUGACUUGUUUCAUCACUAGUAAAAACAAGUGUUCUCUUAUUAAUUUAAUGUCUUAAAUUUAGCUGUGCUGUCAGUUAUUUAGAGGUAACUGACAUAAUUGAGCAUUGUAAUUGGCUCUGUGUAGUUUCUUACAAAACUAAAUUUUCAUCUGGGGUGACCCUUCUAUUUCCUGAUGGUCAAUUGAGGCAGUCUCAGGUUUGUAGCACCUCAGUGUUAAUGUAUUUACUAGUAGAAUAAAAGUGCCAUUUUAAGGCA